AUUAGGAAUCUUGCGCAAUGGGGGCAACCCUGACGCAGCGACGCCGCGUGCGGGACGAAGGCAUUCGUGUCGUAAACCGCUUUUCUCGGGGAAGAAGAAUGUGACGGUACCCGAGGAAUAAGCCCCGGCUAACUACGUGCCAGCAGCCGCGGUAAUACGUAGGGGGCGAGCGUUGUCCGAAGUUACUGGGCGUAAAGCGCGCGUAGGCGGUCCGUUAAGUCUGGGGUGAAAGGUUCAGCGCUCAACGCGAACAGUGCCUUGGAGACUGGGGGACUUGAGUGUGGGAGGGGGCAGUGGAAUUCCUGGUGUAGCGGUGAAAUGCGUAGAUAUCAGGAGGAACACCGAUGGCGAAGGCAGCUGCCUGGCCUAACACUGACGCUGAGGUGCGAAAGCGUGGGGAGCGAACG
rnacentral:rRNA from 1 species